ACCCAGACCCUCGGCUCCGGAUCUCCAGGGCUCACCACUUCGGAGAAGCGAUGGGGCGCUACAGCGCGGCGAGACCUACGAAUUUCAAAACUGAAGACUCGACCAAUCCCCAGCACUGUGCGGAGGACCCAGCAGUGAGCCUAGCAGCUAUAACCCUGCUCCCAUGGAGUUUACAGUAUAAUGGACAAUAUUUAUAUCAUUAGAAUGUUGGGAUAUUAGAAAUGGAUUUCUGACAGUGAAAUAAAGUAGAAGUCAUAGGUAGAGAUUAGCAUGAAGAUGCCUGUGAUGGAAUGUUCUGGAAAGCAAUGAGGAAGCCUCCACCCUGAUGAGCACUGCGGCCCUCCACUGCCAGAUUCUUUGGAGACAAAGGUGGGGCCUGAAAUGUGGAUUCCCUGUGAGGUUAGGAAGCCCUCUUAACAUCUGCCGCGCGGGGGAAACUGAUAGUCCCAGGUCUCUAGGCCAGAGAGACAAAGUCUUUGGAUAGUUUUAUUCUAGCGUCCACUAAGACCAUUUUAAAACCUAGGUACACAUUUUUUAAAUUGACCUUAAGAUUAUUUUCACCGUUAAAAUGGUUGUAAAGGAUAUAAUUUUCUAAAACUCACGCAUCACCCUUUCAAAUGUAUCUAAGGACAUCAAAAUGCCAUAGCAAUUUAAUAUCCACUAUGAUCCAUUUUUUGGGUAUAUCUUUGUUUCUGUAUUGAGGUAUAAUUGAGAAAUAAAACAUAUACAUUCGAGGUGUA